rnacentral:rRNA from 1 species
CCUACGGGUGGCAGCAGUAGGGAAUCUUCCACAAUGGACGAAAGUCUGAUGGAGCAACGCCGCGUGAGUGAAGAAGGGUUUCGGCUCGUAAAGCUCUGUUGGUAGUGAAGAAAGAUAGAGGUAGUAACUGGCCUUUAGUGGACGGUAAUUACAGAGAAAGUCACGGCUAACUACGUGCCAGCAGCCGCGGUAAUACGUAGGUGGCAAGCGUUGGCCGGAUUUAUUGGGCGUAAAGCGAGUGCAGGCGGUUCAAUAAGUCUGAGGUGAAAGCCUUCGGCUCAACCGGAGAAUUGCAUCCGAAACUGUUGACCUUUAGUGCAGCAGAGGAGAGUGGAACUCCAUGUGUAGCGG